rnacentral:rRNA from 13 species
GUACCCGGAGGAAAGGACAUCAAUUGAGACUCCCUUAGUAGCGGCGAGCGAACGGGGACCAGGCCUGGUCUGAAAUAAAGCGAAGUAUCUGGAAAGGUGCGCCAUAGUGGGUGAUAGCCCCGUAGCUGUAAAAUGAAGACCUUUUUGAGUAGGGCGGGACACGUGAAAUCCUGUCUGAACAUGGGGAGACCACUCUCCAAGCCUAAGUACUCGUGCAUGACCGAUAGCGAACCAGUACCGUGAGGGAAAGGUGAAAAGCACCCCGACGAGGGGAGUGAAACAGUUCCUGAAACCGGAUGCCUACAAACAGUUGGAGGGCGCAAGCCUGACAGCGUACCUUUUGUAUAAUGGGUCAUCGACUUGGUCUAUCUAGCAAGCUUAAGCC